CCCAAUCAAACUUGGUUCUUUUUUCACGCUCUCUUUCUCUGGAGAUUCAAACGUUAUAUGGAAAAAUGGAAAAUUGCAAAAGAAUAUAGAAAGGAAAGGAUGAAUUCAAAAACCCUCAUUAUAACAAGUUCUUUUCCUUUGGCGAUGGUGAAGUGAUGGCCCCAUCGAUGUUUAUGGCUGAUGAAACGAUUUCGACAAAGUCUAUGGUUUUCCAGCGAUCUGAAUUGUGGUUUAGGCGCCAACCAAAUUCCUUAUACAACCCUAAAUCACCGCCUCCUUCUACAUAAUAUCUUUCCCAUUUCCUCUUCAAUACCCUAAGCUCAAACUCGCUAAACUAUCCAGUUUCUAUGGUUUGGUUGAUUGAUUCAGAUUUGCAAUUGUCAUGUAAUAAAUGAUGUAGAGAUAUGGGAUGAUGGUUGGUUGAAUUCAUCUCUUCAUCUUCCGUUACUUCAGUGAACGCUAAUCCCGCAUGCAGACCUUCCUCAUGAAUAGCAGGUAAACAACUUUGGUCUGGUUUCUAUCCAUCUUCAAGUAAUGAACUUGGCUUCAACCUGAUGAGAUUUUCUGUUAAUGGCAGUGAGCAGAACCUAAAGUUCAUUGGAACAACUCUCAUCAUAUACCGAGUCUUAUCGUAUAUUUCUUUUCGGAGCAUUUUAAUAAUGGCCAAGGAUAACUGAAACCACCUAGAGUGCUUGAUGAUUGAUGAAAAUGUUGCUCAAGAAAUCAUAAAUCAAAGAUCACUUCGACCCUAACAUCACGAGGUUUAGAGAGAUUAAUGGCAGGUUUAAUUAGUGUCUUCCAUUGGCUGAAGUGUUUACACUUGAUCAAAGGGAAUUUGAUGCUCCAGUAGUAGAGUAGUAGACAUGGUGACUAAUAAGGUUUUAGGUGAAAAGACAUAAAAAUGGUGUUAAGUGUGGAUGUCCGUUGCCAAAAACCAGGUAUCCAACCAAUUAACCAGCUAACGUGAGUUAUAAUAUUUUUUUAUUAUUGUUCCAUACUUCUUCGAUCUUAUUUUUUGAUAUUCAUUGUGAAGAUGUGGCGUGUGAAUAGUAAAGAAAAUAGUCUAUUACAAGGAGUUAUCACCAUAAAGUAUUAUGUACUUUUCAAGUUUUGUUGGUUUAUUAUAGUGUUUUGGUUUCAUUCAUUGUCUUUUCAAGUUUUUAGGAAUAUAAUUAAUAGUGUUUGUUGGUUUAUUAUAGUGUUUUUUUGUUUUAGGCGUAUA